GACAGCCAAAGCAGCCACACAGAUUAUUGCAUACGCACAACAGAGCUGGGCCGGUCGGCUUUAACCCCUUCUACAUGCUGGUCCGCCAGCCUGCCGUGUACUUGUUGUAUUUCUUCAGCUACAGGAACAGAGGGUUACUGAAAAGCAUGCUAAUAGACUCGGUGACCCCGAAGAGUACCCUCUGGUGGUAAAACAUAAUAGGUUGUGGAAAACACAGCAAGCAGAUGGUGGUUUCCUUAGCUGACAGAGUGAGAAGUGGCAGUCCAUAUCGAAGAGAAAAAAACGAAAGAAGAAGAAACCAAAUGAGGUUGAAGACAUGGAAACCACUGUAGAUUGCCUAUGGAUAGGACUGACCUGCUGAGCCCACAGAAACCAUGGCAGAUAAGCCUUGAGUACUGUAUUGUACCCUACAGUUACAGAUAUAAUCAAAAGUUUUAUGACAUAAUUACAGGAGAAUCAAAGUUGUAGCAAUGUAGUAGCAGGUGCCAGGUCUAAUAAUUAAUAGCAACCAAACUGAUAUUUAAUUUAAUUAAUUCUUGCAGUAGACUGCCAAAUGUUAACUGCUGAUUGGUUGCUGUGAUUUAUUUAAUCAUGGAUUAGACCUUGCACAUUGGGGUGUACUGCUUUAGUUCAAAUUUAUCCAUUUGAUAAUCUUUUUAUUUUCUUUUCCUCCAGAAGAAGAGUAGAAGAAAUGGUGAACUGGUGAAACUUGAAUAUAAAUCCUAGAAAUAAGGUAUAUUUAUUUCAUUAACGUCCAAAAUAAAAAUCAUAGGUAUAGUAUCAAUGAGUAUGUUCUAUAACAAUUACACAAUAUUCUGUAAUGUCAGUAAACUCUUGGUAUACGCUAAACGUUUCUGUUUAUGGGGCAGCAAUAAAUAAUAUCUAGUGGCUACUAUGUAGAAAUGUCUGCAAUAAAAACAAGAGAACUAUGGGCUCAUUUAUCAAUGGUAUUAUGUUAUCCACACCCCUGUAAUAGGCCGCAUCAUGCUUUAGUGCACUGGAACCCUGUAGAUUUUGGAUUGAGCAGAACCCUGACUGAUGAGAAAAGGGACAUCCCUAUCCUGCCACAUUCCACCUUCUACAUGGAAGACAUAACCUGUGACCAAAAGCAGGAUUUUCACUACCCAGCUGAAAUCUUAGUGCCUCCAGAAACCAGGCACAGAAAUUUGUGGUAGAUCGCAACAGGUACAAUUAUGCUAGAAUUCUGCUGCUACAUUGGUCUCUGUAUAUUGGGAGGCUGUAUAUAUAAAUGGCUGCCCAUUGCUGCAGUAAAUCUUGUAAAAACAAAAGCCAUUCUUUAAGGUGCUUGUGUCCAAAGCAGCUGCUUGCACUUCCAUAUAGCUUGAUUUCAACUGAAAUUUUCAGCACGAUUGAUUCUGAUUUUAAGUACUCACACAAGUUUGCUCAUUUUAACUCAUGGCCCCCUCAAGGUCAGAAUGAUGCUGAAUUAUGUAAAAAACACGGUGGCCUGCAUCCAGAUUAUACCUUACAUACUUUACACCUUACGGGUUUUGUGUUGUUCAUAUAUCCAGGUGCGUAAUUACUAUAAAGGCACUUGAGGGCCUGUGCCUAAGGCAGCAGCUUUAAGGGGAGGCUGCCCUCGGAUACAUCCAUCAAGCGUUGCGUGUCACACCGUGAUAUCAUAUCUGCUGAUGUCAUGCAGGAGCGCUCGCAGGUCUGGUACUCUAAGUUUGUAUAGUAAUUUAGAUUUCCAAGAAUCAGUUAUGGAUUCUUACCAAUUCUCUCAGGACACGCAAGCACACUAGUAAAUCAGUUACUGCAGAGAUUCAGAGCCUUUAUUCGCCAAGGCCUCACAUGUUUAUCAUUGUAAGUACUGUUUAUCAUUGCAAGGCCUCAUCCAGGUAAGCAGCAAAAUAUGCCUGUGUUCAUCAUGAGCCUGAUAAACAGGGUUUGGUUUAAAAUGUAUGCUGCCUUUUGUUUUAAAUACAGUUUUCUUUAUAUGUUGUACCAAACAGCAAGAGAAUAUUACCUUCUACCUUCUUCAGAGCAAAGCUAAAAGGAUAAAAAAAAAAACAACAUUUAAGGCAAGAAUGGGCAAAUAUCUACUGUGCUGAUAUUAUGCUGUGAUUCCCAUGGCCUGCAAUGGCGGAAGGUUUCAUUAAAACAUCAUGACAUUGCAGGAGGAAAAACCCAGGGGUUCAAACAUCUGCACUGGUUAUGUGUGCCAUAGGCCUAACACUGCUUAUUCCAUGAGAGUUUGGUGUUGGUAGAAAGAGCAAAUAUAAAAACAGAACCAUUACUUCUUCACAGCUGAAAAUUAUAAAGAAAUGUAACAUAAUUUGGCUCAUGUAGAACACAAUUGCAUAAUUACUCAUUAAAAUACAACUGCUUACAUUGCAAAAUAAUUUUAGACAUGCCUGAAAAUAUAGAUUGCCUCUUGGAAAACACAAUAACAAGAAAAACUGGAAUUCUGUGUUUUAUCUAAGUAAUACAAAGACAAUCUUUUGAACCCUGUAACUAUUAUACAGUCUUCAGUAUGAAGCCAUUUAAUACAAUAGAAGAAACUGCUGUACAAGUAGUCACUCCUAUAAAUAAAAAUAAGGGAUGCAUUAUGAACUGUGAAAGAGAAAUGGAAGGACAUAAAACCCCUGUGCAUGCUGUUUUAAGUUGGCAAUGUUCAGGUCUAGUGCCCAUAGCAGCCAAUCAGAUAUUUGCAUUUAAAGAGCUGACUCUUAUAUUCUACCUGCUGAUUGGCAUUGGUUACUUGAAUUGUAGAAAUCUUUGUACCUUUCGUCCCAUUUGUAUAAAACCCUAUGCAUACAUACAUAUAAAUGUAAAUGUGAUGAAAUAGGGUGCAAUAUGGUUGAAAGCAAUAUCUAGAAUAAAAGAUAUCUAACACUGGUCCCGCACUCUAACACUAUACCACUGGUUAUAUUAUAUUUUCUCUUGCUGACACUAUAGCAAGAAAAUGUGUAAUAUAAAUUGUUAUACCUGUAAUGCUUUUAUAUGGGACCAAAUGGUGAAAAAGUUUGUUGCUUUAAAAAUUGUAAAUCUAAAUCUAGGACAGCUAGAAGGUAAUGUGACUUGUUUGGCUGCACACAAACAAUUCCCAUAACUAUGAUUCAUUUUGUUUUUUUGGAAAAUGUUCCCACUUGCAUUGUUACAGUUUCACUCAAAUUCCCCCAUCCUUCAAACAUGGGUACCCUGCAGACUAUUUCAAAACUUUCAUCUUUCAUUCUGUUGAGUGUUAAAUGACUAAUUUUGACAUAUGUUUUCAGUCUUUGUCUUGCUGAAAUAUUCUUGUUCUCAGCUUCAGUUUCUUAACAACAUUACUUCAAUUGUUUUUCUCUUUUGUGCAGAAAAAUGGACCUGGUUAUAAUAGUAUGCAUAUAGAUUGCCAGCACCUGUUUUGUUAUUGUAUAAUUAUUCUACUAGUCAAAGAUUUCCUUUUUUUGGCCAUUCAACAAAAAACAUACAACUUAAUAAGUACCAGUUAUUCUCAUUCCUUUUAAAUGACUAGGCUUUUGGAGCCUGGAUUUGGAGAAACUUGAUACCGAGUCAUGACUUUUAUAUAACAUCUCUUUCCUGUCCAUGAAAAUUUUUGAAUUUAGUCACAAACGAUUGAGAAGGAAAUUACAUGAUUAAUAGCCUUUAUGUAGACUUUGCUGUAUAUGACAGAUUUUUUUUUAAAAAAACAUUUAGGUCUAGCUUUUAUGUUACUCUGUGUAAUUUAGACUUCCCAUAGACUGCACGUAGUGCACGUAAAUCCUUUUUUAUGAAGCAUCACCACCAUUGCUACAAAAUACCCACCGCUACCAUAAGGAUGCAAUAAGAAAGAAAUUGUACAAGCCAGUCACAUCAUAAGCAUGUGAUUGCCUGCCAGAGGGAUUUACAUUUCAAAACCUCACAAAAUACUGUUUCAUUAAUAUGGUUUUCAAGUUGUGGGGGCAUCAGUGGCUAGGGCUUGUGAUGAGAAAAAGGGGGGCUUGCUCACAACCUGAAACUAACAUGUUUCAAUUAAACAGAUUCCUGAUCUGUAAUCAAUACAAAUGAGUUAAUUAACAUAUAAAGUUUAUGUCAUUAACAUUACAAAUGGUGCUUGAAAAAUACAGUGUAAACAUCAAACAAUUAACACACACUGAUCUGCUACACCAGUUCUUAAAGAGAUACCGACACCAGAUGUUUUUUUUUACAUC